rnacentral:rRNA from 1 species
GCGGCCUAUCAGCUUGUUGGUGAGGUAAUGGCUCACCAAGGCGACGACGGGUAGCCGGCCUGAGAGGGCGACCGGCCACACUGGGACUGAGACACGGCCCAGACUCCUACGGGAGGCAGCAGUGGGGAAUAUUGCACAAUGGGCGAAAGCCUGAUGCAGCGACGCCGCGUGAGGGAUGACGGCCUUCGGGUUGUAAACCUCUUUCAGCAGGGAAGAAGCGAAAGUGACGGUACCUGCAGAAGAAGCGCCGGCUAACUACGUGCCAGCAGCCGCGGUAAUACGUAGGGCGCAAGCGUUGUCCGGAAUUAUUGGGCGUAAAGAGCUCGUAGGCGGCUUGUCACGUCGGGUGUGAAAGCCCGGGGCUUAACCCCGGGUCUGCAUUCGAUACGGGCUAGCUAGAGUGUGGUAGGGGAGAUCGGAAUUCCUGGUGUAGCGGUGAAAUGCGCAGAUAUCAGGAGGAACACCGGUGGCGAAGGCGGAUCUCUGGGCCAUUACUGACGCUGAGGAGCGAAAGCGUGGGGAGCGAACAGGAUUAGAUACCCUGGUAGUCCACGCCGUAAACGGUGGGAACUAGGUGUUGGCGACAUUCCACGUCGUCGGUGCCGCAGCUAACGCAUUAAGUUCCCCGCCUGGGGAGUACGG